AGAGUUUGAUCAUGGCUCAGAUUGAACGCUGGCGGCGUGCUUAACACAUGCAAGUCGAGCGGUAACAGGUGUAGCAAUACAUGCUGACGAGCGGCGAACGGGUGAGUAAUGCUUCGGAAUCUUCCUCGUAGUGGGGAAUAACCUGGGGAAACUCAGGCUAAUACCGCAUACGAACUACGGUUGAAAGCAGGGGAUCGCAAGACCUUGCGCUAUGAGAUGAGCCGAAGUCGGAUUAGCUAGUUGGUGGGGUAACGGCCCACCAAGGCGACGAUCCGUAGCUGGUCUGAGAGGACGACCAGCCACACUGGGACUGAGACACGGCCCAGACUCCUACGGGAGGCAGCAGUGGGGAAUAUUGGACAAUGGGCGAAAGCCUGAUCCAGCGACGCCGCGUGUGUGAAGAAGGCCUGCGGGUUGUAAAGCACUUUUAGUGGGGAUGAAAAGCCGAAGGCUAAUACCUUUCGGUCUUGACCUAACCCAAAGAAAAAGCACCGGCUAACUCUGUGCCAGCAGCCGCGGUAAUACAGAGGGUGCAAGCGUUAAUCGGAAUUACUGGGCGUAAAGCGUGCGUAGUCGGUUAUUCAAGUCGGGUGUGAAAGCCCCGGGCUCAACCUGGGAAUUGCAUUCGAUACUGUUUAGCUAGAGUUCGGCAGAGGGAAGUGGAAUUUCGGGUGUAGCGGUGAAAUGCGUAGAUAUCCGAAGGAACAUCAGUGGCGAAAGCGACUUCCUGGACCAGAACUGACGAUCAGGCACGAAAGCGUGGGGAGCAAACAGGAUUAGAUACCCUAGUAGUCC
rnacentral:rRNA from 1 species